UGAAGUUCUUCUGGAUUUCAGUUUCUUUUUCUAUAAAUAGAAGGAAUUGGACUAGAUGCCUUCUAAGAUCCCUGUUAGCUCUUGAUCUGGGAUCCCAAGAUCCAAAUAAAUGAGUAAAUAUAUCA
ensembl:snoRNA